rnacentral:rRNA from 1 species
GAGUAACGCGUGGGUAACCUGGCCCAUACAGGGGGAUAACACUUAGAAAUAGGUGCUAAUACCGCAUAACAACAGAAAGCGCAUGCUUUUUGUUUGUAAACCAAGGUGGUAUGGGAUGGACCCGCGUCUGAUUAGCUGGUUGGCGGGGUAAAGGCCCACCAAGGCGACGAUCAGUAGCCGGCCUGAGAGGGUGGACGGCCACAUUGGGACUGAGACACGGCCCAAACUCCUACGGGAGGCAGCAGUGGGGAAUAUUGCACAAUGGGGGAAACCCUGAUGCAGCGACGCCGCGUGAGUGAAGAAGUAAUUCGUUAUGUAAAGCUCUAUCAGCAGGGAAGAAAAUGACGGUACCUGAGUAAGAAGCCCCGGCUAACUACGUGCCAGCAGCCGCGGUAAUACGUAGGGGGGCAAGCGUUAUCCGGAUUUACUGGGUGUAAAGGGAGCGUAGACGGCAGUGCAAGUCUGGAGUGAAAGGCGGGGGCUCAACCCCCGGACUGCUCUGGAAACUGUACGGNUGGAGUGCAGGAGAGGUAAGUGGAAUUCCUAGUGUAGCGGUGAAAUGCGUAGAUAUUAGGAGGAACACCAGUGGCGAAGGCGGCUUACUGGACUGUAACUGACGUUGAGGCUCGAAAGCGUGGGGAGCAAACAGGAUUAGAUACCCUGGUAGUCCACGCCGUAAACGAUGAUCACUAGGUGU